rnacentral:rRNA from 1 species
AACUUCUGGUUUGGCGCGCGCGGCCCGCGGCGGCAACGUCGUGAGUGCCGUUGUGCGCCUGCCAUCCUUUUGGCGUUCGGGUGUGCCCUUCACUGGGAGAGCAUUCGGGUGUCCAGAUCUUUUACUUUGAAAAAAUUAGAGUGUUUAAAGCAGGCUUGCGCUAUGAAUACAUUAGCAUGGAAUAAUAAUUUAGGGCUUCUGUUCUAUUUUGUUGGUUUCUAGGAUGGAAGUAAUGAUUGAUAGGGAUAGUUGGGGGUGCUAGUAUUCAGCGGCCAGAGGUGAAAUUCUUGGAUUCGCUGAAGACUAACUUAUGCGAAAGCAUU